UACGUAGGGGGCAAGCGUUAUCCGGAAUUACUGGGUGUAAAGGGUGAGUAGGCGGCAUGGUAAGCCAGAUGUGAAAGCCUUGGGCUUAACCCGAGGAUUGCAUUUGGAACUAUCAAGCUAGGGUACAGGAGAGGAAAGCGGAAUUCCUAGUGUAGCGGUGAAAUGCGUAGAUAUUAGGAAGAACACCAGUGGCGAAGGCGGCUUUCUGGACUGAAACUGACGCUGAGGCACGAAAGCGUGGGGAGCGAACAGG
rnacentral:rRNA from 1 species